UACGUAGGCAGCGAGCGUUGUUCGGAGUUACUGGGCGUAAAGAGUGCGUAGGCGGUUUUCUAAGUUUGGUGUGAAAUCUCCCGGCUUAACUGGGAGGGUGCGCCGAAGACUGGAAGGCUUGAGUAUGGGAGAGGUAAGCGGAAUUCCUGGUGUAGCGGUGAAAUGCGUAGAUAUCAGGAGGAACACCUGCGGUGUAGACGGCUUACUGGACCAUAACUGACGCUGAGGCACGAAAGCUAGGGGAGCAAACGGG
rnacentral:rRNA from 1 species